rnacentral:ncRNA from 2 species
GAUGAGUUUGAUUCUGGCUCUUGAAUGUUUAUUUUGGCUUUAUUUAUAAUAUUAAAUAUAAAUUUUUGUGGGUUAAUAAUUUUCUUAAUGAUUAUUUUUAGUUUUUAAUUUUAGUUUUUAAUUUUGGUUAUUUAUAUUUUUAUAAUUCCAGUUAUUAUUUAAUUUGAAUAGUAAAAUUUUGUGCCAGCAUGCGCGGUUAUACAAUUUAUUCUAGUCAAUUUUUUUUGGUAGGUAUUUUAUUUUAUUAUUGAUUAUUAUUUUUAUUUCUAUUAAGUGAAAUUUUAGUUUAUUUUUAAUUUUUUGGUUUUUUAUUAUAUGAAAUUCAGUAUUUAGACUAGGAUUAGAUACCCUAUUAUUCUGAAUGUAAAUUUGGCCUUAUUAUUAUUAGUUAUGGUCUUUAAAAUAAAAGGAUUUGGCGGUAAUUUAGUCUUUUCAGAGGAACCUGUUUUUUAAUCGAUGAUCCACGUUGGAUUUAACUUUAAUUUAUUGUUUGUAUAUCUCUGUCAUUGAAUGUUUUUUUAGGAUAUUUUCUUUUUUUUAUUAAUGUAUUUUAUGUCAGGUCAAGGUGCAGCUAUAUUGAAGGUUUAAUGGGUUACAUUUAAUGUUAUUUAUUGGUUUUGUAAAUUCUUGUAAUUAGUGCAAAUAAAAAGGAUUUGAAAGUAAUUUUUAUUAAUUUUUAAUUUUGAUUAUAGCUCUAUGUUAUGUACACAUCGCCCGUCGCUUUCAUUAUUAAGGUGAAAUAAGUCGUAACAAAGUAAUUUUACUGGAAAGUGAAGUUGGUAUUAU